AUAAUUUAUAUUAAGAAAAUUUGUAGUGAAAUUAUAAGAGAAAUUGAAUCAAGGAAUUUAAAUCUGAAAUAAAAUUUUGGUGCCACGACUGGGACCCGAACCCAGAAUCUCCACCUUGCCGGGGUGUUGCUCUAACCAAUUGAGCUACCGUGGACAUUUUAAUUUCAGAUCUAAUUUCGAACCGUUGUUACAUUACUAACCGCAUGUAUAUGUA